rnacentral:misc_RNA from 1 species
AUGAAUUGCCAUAGAGGCUUCUUUGUACUAAAUUAUAGAAUUUCCGGACAAAGUUUGACUGCCAAUAUCAUUCUGAUGCUAAUUAAGUACAAAGAAGCCUCUAUGGCAAUUCAUGAAAUUACUCUAGACGAAAAACGAAGUUGCAAAUUUGCCACUUUGAAAACUGAAACGAAAAGAAGCUAUAGCUACUUAGGGAACUAAUAUUGAAGACUACUUGCCCAACAUAAUUGCAUAUUUUCUUUACGGUCCUUACCUUGAACAUAUGACAACAAAUUUUCCCCAUUAUUUUUCUGGUUCUUUCGUAGUGGAGGCAGGGGCAGAUUUAUGGCCUUUUGCACGACUUUCACCUUUGCUCUUAACCAAAUAAGCUAGAACUUCCAAUGUCAUGGUUUGUGUAUUUUGAACCCAAA